rnacentral:rRNA from 1 species
UUGGGCGUAAAGCGCGCGCAGGUGGUUUCUUAAGUCUGAUGUGAAAGCCCACGGCUCAACCGUGGAGGGUCAUUGGAAACUGGGAGACUUGAGUGCAGAAGAGGAAAGUGGAAUUCCAUGUGUAGCGGUGAAAUGCGUAGAGAUAUGGAGGAACACCAGUGGCGAAGGCGACUUUCUGGUCUGUAACUGACACUGAGGCGCGAAAGCGUGGGGAGCAAACAGGAUUAGAUACCCUGGUAGUCCACGCCGUAAACGAUGAGUGCUAAGUGUUAGAGGGUUUCCGCCCUUUAGUGCUGAAGUUAACGCAUUAAGCACUCCGCCUGGGGAGUACGGCCGCAAGGCUGAAACUCAAAGGAAUUGACGGGGGCCCGUAUAAGUUGAUGAGUAUGUUGUUUAAUUCGAAGCAACGCGAAGAAC